AACACUCUGUAUGUCAAUAUAUAAUAUUAGAACUGUUUUAUUUAAACACUAUUAUUAAUUGAGAUACUAACUGAACUAGUGUUAAAUCAAAAUGUUUUGAUUUUAUUAGACGGAAUGUUGUUAUAAAAUAACUUUUAGUAAUUAAGUUAAAAUAAUUUAACCAUGUUAACUUUGCCAUUGUUAUAAGUUAUGUUGAACAUUUAAUGAAUAUUAGUUAAGCAUUAGAAAUAUUUAGUUCUAAUACAAUCAUUGUUAUAUCAAAACGCUUGUUGAUAUUCCAAUUAAAAUAUUACAAAAGGUUAUUUUUAGAAGGUCGAAUAAGCGAUAAUCACUGAUAAUAAAUAUUCACCUGACAAAACAUCACCGUAAACAUAAUAUUACAUAUUUUCUUACCUAGAAUUUUAAAUUAAUUUAAAUUUAAAAUCAUGAUUUCCUAUUUUGUUUGCUUUGUUAAUUUGGGACGUAAUCAUAUAAGUUUAAGUAUUAUAAUUUUUAAAAUAUGGUAAUACAGUAGUUUCACUUCAGUCAUGAAAAUAAAUACUAACUUUAUUAAGAUUCUUAUAUAUCUAUAAUUUGUACAUUUUUUAAAUUAUAGUAUUCAACUAUUGUUUUUAGUUGUUUUGGCUGUUACACGUUUAUACUAAAUACUAAUAGAUGAUUUUUUAAAUAAUUAUAGUUAUUUAAUUAUAAUUAAUUUGGAUGGAUUUAUCAAUGUAGAGAGUGUUUUAAAUAGUAAUGAUAUUGUAAAUGUGCAAACUAAUUCAAAUAAAUUUUCCUCAUUUUCAUCUCUAACUGAAUCAAAUUCCAAGUAUGGAACAUAUAAACCAAUAGAAUGGACUUUGUAGUCUAUUAUGAGCUUGCUGCAUUCAACUAAUGACGGUCGUUUUAUUUUGACUGACUCAAAAGUAAAUUAUAAAAAUUUAUUUGUUUAUGCUCAAAAUACACUUACGAGACUUUUAAUAAAUUAUUUCUUUAAAGACAAAGCUUGGAAUAGUGUACCAUCGUGUGGUGAGCGAGGCGUGGGGAGGGGUGAAUGCGUAUAACAGUCUAGUCUAGACAACGGAAUAUGCGAUAACGCGUGGCGUUUGAAGAGUUACAAACAUACAUACAUACAUACAUACAUACAUACAGAUACUAGAACAAGCAACACAUUGAAAACUACUGAUUCCAUAUCUAGUAUUAACUAAAACUCAAAUGAAAACAAACAAAAAAUCUGGGAAAUCAUCGUUAGUUGAAUGUACUUCAGAUUUUGUUAUAAAUUUUUCAAAUUUAAAUGAUUCAGAAUUCAAAAUAAUUUACCUGACUCAACUCCAACUAUUAAAUAAAUUUUGGGUAAUGGUAAAAUGUAUGAGACUCUUAAAUAUAUUUUAUAGUUGUAUUUUUAAAAAAUUAUAACUUGUUUAUUAAUAAUAUACAGUUUGUCAUUAACAUAGUUUUAUUGUAAUUAAUUUGUGAAUGUAUUUGUACUUACAAUUUAAAGAAAGUAAAUGAUUCCAUUAUGUUAUGUCAUAAUCUAUAUAUUUUAAAAUAUCUUUACUAUCCUAAUCCAACUUAUUAUUAUCUAAUAAAGUUUCCAUUUCUAUUUUAACUAAAUGGAUAUUUCUAUAUUAGUAUUUCUAUGUAAAAUUGAGUUUAUGGAUAUUUGAUCAUUUUGUCUUUGAUACCAUUCAGAAUUAAACAAAAUAAGUAUGUGUUAAGUGUUGAUAAUGGUAACAUU